rnacentral:rRNA from 1 species
UAGGGAAUAUUGCGCAAUGGAGGAAACUCUGACGCAGCAAUGCCACGUGAGUGAGGAAGGCCUUCGGGUUGUAAAGCUCUGUCCUAUAGGAAGAAUGGUUGGAGGUAACGCUUCAAUUUGACGGUACUAUAGAAGAAAGCACCGGCUAACUCCGUGCCAGCAGCCGCGGUAAUACGGAGGGUGCAAGCGUUGUUCGGAUUUACUGGGCGUAAAGCGCGCGCAGGCGGACUAGCAAGUCAGAUGUGAAAUCCCAGGGCUUAACCCUGGAACUGCGUCUGAAACUGUUAGUCUAGAAUCUCAUAGGGGGUAGGGGAAUUUCACGUGUAGGGGUAAAAUCCGUAGAGAUGUGAAGGAACACCGGAGGCGAAGGCGCCUACCUGGAUGAGUAUUGACGCUGAGGCGCGAAAGCGUGGGGAGCAAACAGG